rnacentral:misc_RNA from 1 species
AAGUCGUAACAAGGUUUCCGUAGGUGAACCUGCGGAAGGAUCAUUAAUGAAAUGUAAGGAUGCUCUUUUUAGAGGUCCGACCAAAUCAUUUUCCUUUCUACACUGUGCACACACUACACUUUUUACACCUUUUAACUCUUCAGUUUUAAGAAUGUAUAACAGUCUCUUUAUUGAGCAUAAAUAAAUAAA